rnacentral:rRNA from 1 species
UACGUAGGGGGGCUAGCGUUGUCCGGAAUCAUUGGGCGUAAAGAGCGUGUAGGCGGUCCGGUAAGUCCGCUGUGAAAGUCGGGGGCUCAACCCUCGAAUGCCGGUGGAUACUGUCGGGCUAGAGUACGGAAGAGGCGAGUGGAAUUCCUGGUGUAGCGGUGAAAUGCGCAGAUAUCAGGAGGAACACCAAUUGCGAAGGCAGCUCGCUGGGACGUUACUGACGCUGAGACGCGAAAGCGUGGGGAGCAAACAGG